rnacentral:rRNA from 1 species
GAUGAACGCUGGCGGCGUGCCUAAUUCAUGCAAGUCGAGCGAACGGACGAGAAGCUUGCUUCUCUGAUGUUAGCGGCGGACGUGUGAGUAACACGUGGAUAACCUACCUAUAAGACUGGGAUAACUUCGGGAAACCGGAGCUAAUACCGGAUAAUAUUUUGAACCGCAUGGUUCAAAAGUGAAAGACGGUCUUUCUGUCACUUCUAGAUGGAUCCGCGCUGCAUUAGCUAGUUGGUAAGGUAACGGCUUACCAAGGCAACGAUGCAUAGCCGACCUGAGAGGGGGAUCGGCGACACUGGAACUGAGACACGGUCCAGACCCCUACGGGAGGCAGCAGUAGGGAAUCUUACGCAAUGGGCGAAAGCCUGACGGAGCAACGCCGCGUGAGUGAUGAAGGUCUUCGGAUCGUAAAACUCUGUUAUUAGGGAAGAACAUAUGUGUAAGUAACUGUGCACAUCUUGACGGUAACUAAUCAGAAAGCCACGGCUAACUACGUG